UUAUCUUCUCCAAACAAGAUACUGACUUGAGCGUCGGAGUGUCCUCGGGGUAAACCCUCUCGGGCCCUCUAACCAGAUUUUCGUGUGGCUGUAGUCCGAGACCCGAUGCCCCGCAAGAGGAACCGUGGUCUGGUCGGGCCAAGGCUGAACCUGAACCAUGGUUAACCGCUUGCUGCCCAUUAUGCGGGUCCAGGUCUAGGAAGUACAAUUAUGGUGCACAUGUCAACUGCUGGUUUGGGCCAUCCAUUUAAUUGGUUGGAAUGGUGAUCUUCCUACACAUUUCUGACUGAUUGUUCUGUUCAUGUGAUAGCAAUCAAUGUCCAAGACUACAAUUCUAGUGUGUUAUCAUAUACUUUUUGAAUGUUACAGAAACCAUGUUCCAACAUUUUUAUGACAAUUCUUUUCUC
rnacentral:lncRNA from 1 species